UCCUACGGGAGGCAGCAGUAGGGAAUCUUCCGCAAUGGACGAAAGUCUGACGGAGCAACGCCGCGUGAGUGAUGAAGGCUUUCGGGUCGUAAAACUCUGUUGUUAGGGAAGAACAAGUGCUAGUUGAAUAAGCUGGCACCUUGACGGUACCUAACCAGAAAGCCACGGCUAACUACGUGCCAGCAGCCGCGGUAAUACGUAGGUGGCAAGCGUUAUCCGGAAUUAUUGGGCGUAAAGCGCGCGCAGGUGGUUUCUUAAGUCUGAUGUGAAAGCCCACGGCUCAACCGUGGAGGGUCAUUGGAAACUGGGAGACUUGAGUGCAGAAGAGGAAAGUGGAAUUCCAUGUGUAGCGGUGAAAUGCGUAGAGAUAUGGAGGAACACCAGUGGCGAAGGCGACUUUCUGGUCUGUAACUGACACUGAGGCGCGAAAGCGUGGGGAGCAAACAGGAUUAGAUACCCUGGUAGUCCACGCCGUAAACGAUGAGUGCUAAGUGUUAGGGGGUUUCCGCCCUUUAGUGCUGAAGUUAACGCAUUAAGCACUCCGCCUGGGGAGUACGGCCGCAAGGCUGAAACUCAAAGGAAUUGACGGA
rnacentral:rRNA from 1 species